CAACAAUUUGAGUGGGACUUUACAUGUGAAUGGUGGUUUCAGUAAUUUGAUGGAGCUGGACAUAAGUGAUAAUGCUAUUGAUGCAGUGGCUACUAUUGAAGGCAUCAAAAACUUGAGCCACUUAGAGAACCUCCACCUAGAUCAUGUCCACUUGAAGCAAGUGGGGACCGUUGUGCGAGCAUUAGGGGCACUGUCAUCUUUGAAGAUCCUUUCUCUCCAAUAUAACAUAGUAGAAGGAAUACUUACAACU